GCAGUUACACGGAUCAUGUAAAGGAGGAAGAGGGCCAGCAAGAACUCCCAGUUCCUAGCCUUUAGACCUGUGGUUUUACUUCACUCUGCAGGAACUGGUUGCUGACCGACUUGACGCCUGAUACAUGCAUGAUCCUGCUCCCACUGGAAUGGUUCCCCCUGAAUAAGCCAGUGCGAGUCAUUUGCAUGACACUGGCGUCCAUGUUCACAUCACUUUCUCCUCCUGAAGCUCAUCGAGCGCUCCCCCAAGACCCUCCCCCGCUCCAUGGUGUACAUCAGCAUC